UACGAGGGAUGCAAGCGUUAUCCGGAAUUAUUGGGCGUAAAGCGUUUGUAGGCGGGCGAGUGUGUUUAAUGUUAAAUCUUAAAGCUCAACCUUGAAAUUGCGUUAAAAACUGCUUGUCUUGAGUAUGGUAGGGGUAAAGGGAAUUCCCAGUGUAGCGGUAAAAUGCGUAGAUAUUGGGAAGAACACUAAACAGCGAAGGCACUUUACUAGGCUAAUACUGGCGCUGAGAAACGAAAGGUAAGGUAGCGAAACGGAUUAGAUACCCGUGUAGUCUUACCCGUAAACUAUGGACACUAAACGGUAAAUUUUUAAUUUACUGUUAAAGCUAACGCGUUAAGUGUCCCGCCUGGGGAGUAUGCUUGCAAAAGUGAAACUCAAAGGAAUUGACGGCGGCCCGCACAAGCGGUGGAGCAUGUGGUUUAAUUCGACGGUACACGAAGAACCUUACCAGGAUUUGACAUGCUAGAUAGUUGCUUGAAAGAGUAACGUGCCGUAAGGAAUCUAGACACAGGUGGUGCAUGGCUGUCGUCAGUUCGUGUUGUGAAAUGUUGGGUUAAGUCCCGCAACGAACGCAACCCUUGUCUUUAGUUAUUUUCUAAAGAGACUGCCUGUAAUAAACAGGAGGAAGGUAAGGAUGAGGUCAAGUCAUCAUGCCCCUUAUGUCCUGGGCUACACACGUGCUACAAUGGGAAAGACAAUGAGCUGCAAAUCUGUAAAUUUAAGCAAAUCUCUUAAACUUUCUCGUAGUUCGGAUUGUGGGCUGCAACUCGCCCACAUGAAGUUGGAAUCGCUAGUAAUCGCCAGUCAGCUAUAUGGCGGUGAAUCCGUUCCCGGGCCU
rnacentral:rRNA from 1 species